rnacentral:RNase_P_RNA from 1 species
ACAGCAAGACGAACGGUCGCUGUUUGCAAAAGCAGAGGAAAGUCCGGGCUCCUUCGGACACGAUGACGGAUAACGUCCGCCGGCUGAAAGGUCAGGGAAAGUGCAGCAGAAAAUAAACCGCCGAAAACACGAGGGGAGGCUUUUGCCUUCUCAAUGGUAUUCGGUAAGGGUGAAACGGCGAGGUAAGAGCUCACCGCAAUUCGGGUAACCGGAUUGGCAAGGCAAACCCCAUCGGGAGCAAAGUCGAGCAGGAGCCAGGCUGUCCGAGCCGUUACGAACUCCGGGUGGACUGCUGGAAAGGACGGGUAACUGUCCUUCAAGAUAAAUGACCGUUACUUGGGUAAUCGGAUUUUUGGCGGAUAUAUUUGACCAGAUAUAUUGUAACAAAUACUCUGAUUGCCGAAGGACAAAACCCGGCUUAUAGUCUUGCUGUUUUU